UUGGCCCUGCAUAAGUACCUAAGAUCUAUCUAGUGCAUAGCUGAUGUAAGACUAAAUACACCCCACAUGGGUUCUCACAUAAUUAUAGUAUGACUUUGCCUAUACUUUGGUGUGACUCUAUAAGGACCUUGGUGUGACUCUAUAGCAACCUUGGUACGACUAAGGGGCCUCUUCCUUUCUGUGCAACUCCAAAAGACCCUAUGUGAAGCCAAU
rnacentral:lncRNA from 1 species